AUCCAGACUCCUACGGGAGGCAGCAGUAAGGGAUAUUGGUCAAUGGGGGAAACCCUGAACCAGCAACGCCGCGUGAGGGAAGACGGUUUUCGGAUUGUAAACCUCUGUCCUCUGUGAAGAUGAUGACGGUAGCAGAGGAGGAAGCACCGGCUAACUCCGUGCCAGCAGCCGCGGUAAUACGGGGGGUGCAAGCGUUGUCCGGAAUCAUUGGGCGUAAAGCGUUCGUAGGCAGCAAGGUAAGUCUGAUGUUAAAGCCCGGGGCUCAACUCCGGUUCGGCAUUGGAUACUAUCUAGCUAGAAUGUGGUAGAGGUAAAGGGAAUUCCUGGUGUAGCGGUGAAAUGCGUAGAUAUCAGGAGGAACAUCGGUGGCGAAAGCGCUUUACUGGACCAUUAUUGACGCUGAGGAACGAAAGCCAGGGGAGCAAAUGGGAUUAGAUACCCCUGUACCA
rnacentral:rRNA from 1 species